CGGACGGGUGAGUAACGCGUGAGCAAUUUGCCUUUAGGAGGGGGACAACAAUUGGAAACGAUUGCUAAUACCCCAUAUGCUUUCGAGUGAAAUGGAUUUUUCCGCCUAAAGAGAAGCUUGCGGCUGAUUAGCUUGUUGGUAAGGUAAUGGCUUACCAAGGCGACGAUCAGUAUCUGGUUUGAGAGGACGAUCAGACACACUGGAACUGAGACACGGUCCAGACUCCUACGGGAGGCAGCAGUGGGGAAUUUUCCGCAAUGGGCGAAAGCCUGACGGAGCAAUCUCGCGUGAGGGAUGACGGCCUAUGGGUUGUAAACCUCUUUUUUCAGGGAGGAAUAAAAUGACGUGUACCUGAAGAAUAAGCAUCGGCUAACUCCGUGCCAGCAGCCGCGGUAAGACGGAGGAUGCAAGUGUUAUCCGGAAUCACUGGGCGUAAAGCGUCUGUAGGUGGUUUAAUAAGUCAACUGUUAAAUCUUGAGGCUCAACCUCAAAAUCGCAGUCGAAACUAUUAGGCUAGAGUAUAGUAGGGGUAAAGGGAAUUUCCAGUGGAGCGGUGAAAUGCGUAGAGAUUGGAAAGAACACCGAUGGCGAAGGCACUUUACUGGGCUAUUACUAACACUCAGAGACGAAAGCUAGGGUAGCAAAUGGGAUUAGAUACCCCAGUAGUC
rnacentral:rRNA from 1 species